rfam:Hordeum vulgare subsp. vulgare, WGS project CAJW01000000 data, contig: morex_contig_53638
AUAAUACUCCCUCAGUCCCAAAAUUCUUGUAUUAAGUUUGUUUAGAAAUGAAGGUAACUAAAUACUAAAAUAUGACUAGAUACAUUUAUAUUUAGACAAAUCUAAGAUAAGAAUUUUGAAACGAGGGAGUAUAAC